GAUUUUUUCCUCUAGUCAGCAGCCGACUCCCUUAGUCACUUAACACUUCUAAAUCCCUAGCCACCAUCACUUCCCUACCCUCUUAAUCCCUUUUCCCAUUGCCACUCCAACACCCACUAGCCACCAGUCGGCACACGGUAGUCACCACCCUUUCCCUUUUCUCCUUUUCCUCUUCCCACUAUCGCCACCAACCCACCACCAUCAGAAAUCAGAAAUCAGAAAUCAACCCGCAGCCGACUCCCUCUUUCCCUAUUCUCUUUUUCAUCUUUCCACUGUCAUGUUUCAAGCAAACCCACCACUCUCUUGAAAAUUCGACCUCCAGCAUUCUCCUCAUAGCCUCACUAGAGGAUUUCUUGUCGAUGCUGCAAUAGCUGGAAUUUUACAUGUUACAGCAUUGAAGAUAUUUGAUAAGAGUGCAAGAUGCUCUCAAGGGAAAUUCCAUAGAAAUUACAGAGGAUAGCCUCUUAGGGUUGAAGUAUGAUCCUGCAUCGAUUUGGGGUUAUUUUGAGCUUCACAUUGAACAAGGACCUGUACUAGAAUUGGUUGGUUUUCCUCUUACUGUAGUUAAAGGCAUAGCUACCCAGACAGGAAUGAAGAUGAUGAAGCAAAGGCACAAAGUGGAGAGAGAAGCAAACAUUAUGCCGAAAUUGGAUGGUCGAAGAAUUAGGAAGUUGCCAAGAUACAAAGCUUGUAGCCAUGAACAAGAAAUUUGGAAUGAUUCAUGGGUUAUCUUCACUUGCAAGAAUUUUCAAAUUCAUUUGUUUACUUCUGUAGAUUGGGUUGAAUGCUGGUUGCAUACAUUUCGGCUAAAUGUUAGUGUAUUUUAAUUAUUGGAUCGAUUUUUGUAGUGAAUAUUCAACAUUUAUAUUACUUUUACUUUUAUA